UGGGGAAUAUUGCACAAUGGGCGCAAGCCUGAUGCAGCCAUGCCGCGUGUAUGAAGAAGGCCUUCGGGUUGUAAAGUACUUUCAGCGGGGAGGAAGGCGAUAAGGUUAAUAACCUUGUCGAUUGACGUUACCCGCAGAAGAAGCACCGGCUAACUCCGUGCCAGCAGCCGCGGUAAUACGGAGGGGGCAAGCGUUAAUCGGAAUUAAUGGGCGUAAAGCGCACGCAGGCGGUCUGUCAAGUCGGAUGUGAAAUCCCCGGGCUCAACCUGGGAACUGCAUUCGAAACUGGCAGGCUAGAGUCUUGUAGAGGGGGGUAGAAUUCCAGGUGUAGCGGUGAAAUGCGUAGAGAUCUGGAGGAAUACCGGUGGCGAAGGCGGCCCCCUGGACAAAGACUGACGCUCAGGUGCGAAAGCGUGGGGAGCAAACA
rnacentral:rRNA from 1 species